UACGAAGGGGGGCAUAGCGUUGCUCGGAAUCACUGGGCGUAAAGGGCGCGUAGGCGGCCGAUCAAGUACAGGGGUGAAAGCCUGUGGCUCAACCACAGAAUUGCCUUUGAUACUGUUCGGCUCGAGAGCCGGAAGAGGUAAGUGGAACUGCGAGUGUAGAGGUGAAAUUCGUAGAUAUUCGCAAGAACACCAGUGGCGAAGGCGGCUUACUGGUCCGGUUCUGACGCUGAGGCGCGAAAGCGGUGGGAGCAAACAGG
rnacentral:rRNA from 1 species